rnacentral:lncRNA from 1 species
GAGGAAGGAGAGGGCGGAGAGAGAGGAGGGAGGAGGGGAGGUGAGGGAGCGGGAGUGGAAGGGCACUAGGGUUAGGGUUUUGGGGAAGACUCGAUAGAUGAUCUGAGUGGCCAUGGUUGGAAAGAUUGGUAGGUUUAGGGUUUGAGAAGAAGAGAAGAGAAAUGAAAAGGGUUUAGGGUUUCUGUGUUUAUCUCGGCCCGUGAGACACUCGGCUCCCCAUAAUUCGUAAUUGGCGCGGGUUAAGUGUGGAGUGAGAGGGUUGAUCUAAGGGUUGUCAAAAUAUAUUUUUUCUUUUAAGUAAUUUAGAUUCCACAACAUAUGAAAAGCAACUAUCAAAGAGUAAUCAAAGUUACCAACAACCACUUAUCUUGCGUACAAGCCAACGACAAAUAAUCAACACAAAUAUAUAAUAAUGCAUCGGUACAAAAAACUUGGCAUUCAAAAAUCCUACGGGCGCCCGAACACUACUGCCUUUGCAAGUUCUAGGGCUAACUUGCGUCCUAACAGCUUCUCCACAAUAGCUAAUGCAAACUCAAUGGAGGUUCCUGGGCCUCUACUGGUAAUGAGAUUCCCAUCAACUACCACCCUAUUUUCUACUUCACUCUGAUCAGAUAACUUGUUGCACAUUGCAGGAAAGGCAGUGGCCUUUUUACCCUGUAUUGAAGAAAAUAAAGAACCAUGUCUCAAAUUAACACCAUGGUGCAAUCGGAAAAGCAUAGAUUGGAAAUAAAGUUUAAAGAAAUAUUUAGGCCAAGCAAGCAUUUUAUAACACCACAAAAUAAUUAGAAUGAAGACUCCGUAGGGGAAUUAGCAACACAGAGUGUCUCAAUGCACUUGAACAUUAUGUGCAGCUUGUCAUGCAUGCCUUUCUAAACCUUGCUGAUUGUUGCAGGCCAAGUGGCCAAGUUAAUUACGGAAAACCAAACCAAAUGCAACUAAGAGAAUUGCACGUAUAUUAUUGUCAUUUUACUGAAUCAUGCUUAUGAUCACAGACUGACCCAGAAAACAAAUACCUUAAGCAAACCAUGGGGCUCCAAGACAGGCCGGGGAUGCACAAAUUGCUCCAUAAUAUUUGUUUGAUUCUCUUUGUUUUUUCAGCAAAUUCACCAAGGUUUCUGAGUUGGGAAAUGUUUGUGCACCACCAAGUCCACCCUGUAGAAAAUUGAAUAUAUCGCAAACUAAAUGUUAUGUACUAAUUCAAUACUUCGACAAAAAUAAGAAGCCACCUUACAGGUAACACAAUAAGGUCAUAUGAAAGUUUGGCUGCUUCGUCAAGUUUAUCCUCAACAGAAGCAACCACAACAUUUGCCUUUGCUCUUCGCAGCAUAUCAAUGAUGAUCACAGCUUCCAUUUCCUCUGAACCAUUAGCAAUUGGUACAAGAAUCUGAAAAGAAGACAAAGUGCAAAUAACAAUGCAUGUAAAAGUUACAAAUCCAAUGACAAAAUUUAUCUUUGAACAGUGAUAUACACUCCUUCCAAAGAAAUUCUAAAUAAUGAUAGUCCAGCUUCCUUUCAGAGAUACUCUUUUUAAUGCACAGAAAUUCUGCAGCAAAAAUGUCAAAACCUCACCCGGGGUGGAUUGUCAAAUGUCCACUGCACUGGGUUAAACUCCUUGAAAGUAUGUUCAUCAUCAUGAUUGGAACGCAUGACCUGAACGUUCAAUUACACACAAACCUGAUGAGAGAAAGGAAAAUAAUUUACUUCAUAUAUAGCAAGGAUCUGAUAUAACAAAGCAUUAAAAAAUAGCACUUUUAUUGUAAAAAAUUCAGCAGUAGAAGGCUCAAUGCACCCAUGUGCAACACUAGACUCAUACAUUACCAAUAAACUUAUCUUACAUGUGAUAAAAUUUGUUUUUUCUUUAUUUGGUUCCACCCCAGGAAGGAAGAGGGCCCAGAGGGUGAGCUCUCUUACGAAGUCUUUACUGUUAGAGUUCAACAAUGUAGCACAAACAUCAUAUGUUGUUUCUCAAUAUUUAGUUCAAUAAUAAGAGGUUGAAGGAAGAGUAAUGUCUGACCAUAAAGUUUACUCUAUAUCAUUUGAUAUUUUUUUUAUUAGAAGUCAAUUUGGUGUUUAGAAGAAUUUUAUUGAGUUUAAGUGAGAUUUAAUUUGUUUCAGGUUAAAAAUAAACAUGUUACCACAUAUGAAAAAUAUUCACUUUUGGUUUUUCAGUGACAAAGUAAUUAACAUUUUUUAAUAAAAAAAGGGUAGUCUCCAUUGAUAAUUUUUAAAAGUUUUUAAGCCCUUGGAACUUUAACACGUUGCUGUAAUAGUUACCUUUUAAAAAAUAAUAUGUAAAAUAAUUAAGUAUAGUGAUUGACAUUAAGUCUAAUUAAUGAACUUUUUUAUAAAUAAAAUGGAAUUAUUCCUAACUUAAUAACUUAAUACACUACACAACUUUAAUUUUUUACUAAGCAUAAAUGAAAAAUUAUAAUUAAAAUAAGUACUGAGAUAUCAAUAGAAGUAGAAGAUUAAAAUUUUGUAAUAGAAAGAGCUAAUAGAUAAUUUAAUGAAUCAUGCAUGUAUGUUGAGAUACCAAUCAAAUCUAAUUAAUCACCAAUUAAAAAAAUACAUUUCAAUCAUACCUUAAGUCAUUUAAAAAAAAUAACUUUUCACUUUAUUUAUUUUAAUUCAAAUAAUCUUAUUUUUCUUACACUUUUUUUUAAAUUAAUAAUUUUCUACAACUCUUUAGUCCAAACAAAUCAUUAAUCUAAAAAUCUUACUUUCACCUUAAAUUCACUCCCUCAAACCCAUCUUCAAAUCUAAAUAAAGCCUAAAAUUAAAUUAUUCAUAAGUUAAUUUAUAAAAUUUUCUUUAUAAUUUUUCUAAAUUCUGCUUUUUAACUUGUAUAUAAAUUAAACUUAGUUUAUGAAAUACUUAAUUUAUUUUUCUUACAUUUUCUUCCUCCAUGAAAAAAAUGUGCCUGGACAUGCCGCAAAUGUACCUAGAAUACGAUGUUUUAGAGGCAUGGUCCUUAUUGUAAAAUGAAUGUACUUCUUUUCCCCAAUCAAUUGUUUCUCUAAAUGCAAUAAAUAGAUAGUCAAUUCCCUAACUGCUUCCGUCGUGUCUUGUUCUCUGUUAAUCAUCCUACAUUUAAUUUCCAUCACAAUUAUAAAGCUGAUGCAAACAAGUACGGUUAAAUAUUAUAUAUUUUCAGAAUCGAAAAAACAUCAUAUAUUUGUAAAAUAGUUUCAUCAUUGAUUCUGCAAUGCACAUUAUGUAGAAAAAAUAUAAUAAAAAAGAGUGAAAUACGUGACAAAUGGAGUGAUGAGUGAUAAAAAUGAAAAUAAAAAUUGCAUAAAUUAUAAUUAAAAUUUAAUGUAUAAAUAGUAUUACUGUUUUUCAUAUCAUUUUGCUUGCUAAGAAGCAGUUCAUCAUAAUACACGAACGACUACGUACCAAUCCAGCUUUAGCAAAAUGCUAAAUAAUCAACCUAUAAUACAAAUCAACCUAUAAUCAACUUAUAAUACAAAUGAAAGGCACUCCCAAGAUAAGUUAUAAAAAAAAAAAUUCAAAUUUUAACUCAAAAUAGUAAUCUAAAACUCAUUUUGGAAGUGCUGAAUAGCAUGCUGUAGAGCUUACACGUGUGCAAAACACAAUUUCUUUAAAUACACCGUUCUUUAAAUACUUUCAUUCAUCGUUUUUCUUUCUUUAAUUUCUCGACCUCGCGUUUUCUCUUUCUUUUAUUUCGUUGUCUUUUGGUUUCUCUCAUUCAUUUCUUGGAUUUCUUCUUCUUUGAAUUUGCUUUAUACUCUUUCAUUUGAUUUGGGCUUUCUUUAGUUUGUGCAACAACCGGUAGUGGAAUCCAUCGUAUAUUUUUUUUGCCGUGUAUGUUUUUUUUUUAUUAGCAAAAAGGAUUGAAUAACCGGAACCACUUAAGGAGUGGUUCAACCCUUAUACAUACCUAAAAAAUGAGACAAUUUCUCUGAUCUCCCAAACCAACAAAUAGAGAGAGACAAACAAAUCUACCACUAAAAACCCGUACAGCCCGUUCACUUUCAAGACUAACCCGUACCAAUUCAAAACUAACUCGUACAAAUUCAAAUCUAACCCGUACAAACUCAAAACCAAACCCAAUCCAAUCUUUUUGCAACCACAACAAAAGGCAAAAAGAACAACAGAAACUUAGAACAACAAACAACCCAAACGAAGGGGUAACUCUUAUAAAAGCUCACUUUAUUGAAAACAUACAAGCCUUAGGAUCAAUGCACCACUCAGAGUAAGUAAAACUAACAGAAACAGUUUUAGAAGUUACCCAAGACCAAGUCUUUAAUUGUGCCAAAGUGAACACUUUCGAAGGAUCGAUCACCCCUCCUUGGAAAAUAUGUUUAUUCCUGUGCUUCCAUAAUUCACUAACUAUAGCUAUCCAAACACAAUUCCAAACUACAUUAACCUGGACAGGAGCAUUUAGCAAAAUAAAAUGCAAGAAGUGAGUUGUUGGGACAACAUCGUCAACCAACGCAAUCCCUAACCAUGUAUAGCACUGAUUCCAGACUAACCAAACAAUCCUGCAAUAAAAAAACAUGUGUUUUGUCGACUCCACAGCCAUCCUGCAAAAACUACGUAGAUUGGUAUCCACCAAAAUCCCACGCCUCUCCAAGUUAGCUUUUGUGGCAAUCGACUUAAUCAACACCUCCAAGCGAUAAUCUGUGCUGAGGGCAAAGCAGUAGUUUUCCAGAGGAAGACAAACACACUUUUUUCCUCAACAGGGCCUCUUAAAAGAUCAUAGGCAGAUUUUACCGAGAAACCACUAUCCUUACCAGCCUUCCAAACUCGACUAUUUGCAGAAUUCAAGAUAUGGGUCUUUCCAUGCACUUCUUGUAACAACUGGACUUCCUGGCAUAUUUUCCGAUCAAACAGACCUCCCCUCCAAAUUAACUUCCACUCCCAUCUAUCAUUAACCCACUCCCCACAAGACUGUAAACUACCUUCUUUAUUACCACACAAAGAGAACAAUCUUGGGAAUUUACUUUUCAAAUCUUCGUUGCCCACCCAAACAUCUUUCCAAAACAAAAUAUCCUUCCCGUCUCCCACUCUCCACUCGCAACAAUUCUCAAAGGAUUUACCCCAAUCCUCCAUCCCCCAAACCCCCUUCAAGUCUCUCCACCAGUUGGAAUCCUUAUCAUUACUCCUUUGUUCUUGCAAAUUUCUCCAGCCUUCGUAUUUAGAUUCAAGAAUUUCUUUCCACAGACCAUCCUUCUCAGUCUCCAGACGCCAAAUCCACUUUCCCAGCAGUGCUGCAUUGAAAAACCUUAAAUUCAAAAUUCCAAGACCACCAGCUUCUCUAGGCUCGCACACCUUUCUCCACGAGACCCACACUACUUUCCUUCCUUCAUAUCCCCAUCCCCACAAAAACCUUCUUUGUACCUUUUCAAACUCCUUUAACACAGCAACAGGCAGUUUGUACAUGGAUAAAUAAAACAACGGAAUGGCAGAAAGCACCAACUUAAUAAGACACACUCUCCCUGCCAACGAGAGAAAUCUGCCUUUCCAUCUACCCAACCUGCUUUUAACUCUUUCUAANNNNNNNNNNNNNNNNNNNNNNNNNNNNNNNNNNNNNNNNNNNNNNNNNNNNNNNNNNNNNNNNNNNNNNNNNNNNNNNNNNNNNNNNNNNNNNNNNNNNCACCAUCCCAAAACGAGACUCGCUUGUGACUCCCCCAACGAGCAACCCCAAAUAUUUGAAGGGAGUUUUCAUCAUUCACAAUUAAGGAUUGCAGCAUACUGCUGAAUCACAGUAUGAUCAACCCCCACCCCUCCAAUUCUACUUUUUGAGAAAUUAACCUUCAAACCAGAGGCUAAUUCAAAACAGUGCAGAAUAACCUUCAGAUUGCAGACCGAUUUAAAAUUCGCUUCACAUAAAAACAAAGUAUCAUCCGCUUAUUGAAGCAUAUUCACCUUAACCUUUUGUGCCCCAACCUCCAGACUUUCCACCAAAUUCUUCUCUACAGCUAUCCUUACAACACCUGCCAAUCCUUCUGUCACAAUGAGAAACAAGAAAGGCGCAAGAGGGUCACCUUGACGAAGACCCCUCUUUGGACAGAAUUCUGAGGUAGGACUCUCAUUUACAAGCACCGACACAGAGGAAGAAACCAAACAAGAUUUAAUCCAUCUGAUCCAUUUUUCGCAGAAGCCUAGCCUUCCAAGCAUGUAGAAUAAGAACUCCCAGCUUACAGAGUCAUAGGCCUUCUCGUAAUUAACUUUAAAAUAAACACAACUCUUCUUCCUUCGCUUCACCUCCUCUAAAACCUCAUUUGCCACGAGCACACUAUCCAAUAUGUCCCUUCCUUCCAAGAAAGCUGAUUGCUUGGGAUCAAUCAACUUACUCAUCACCUUCUUCAACCGGAGAGACAAAACCUUCGAGACAAUUUUGUAUAAACAACCUACCAAAGAAAUAGGUCUGAAGUCGCUUAGCUGCUGCGGGUUGUCCAUCUUGGGAACCAAACAGAUGAAAGACGCGUUUGACCCCCUGGGCCAACUUCCUCUAUCUGCAAACUCAUUCACUGCCUUCAGAAUAUCCUCUCUAAAGAUCUCCCAACAAAACUUUAAAAAACCAAAGUUAAACCCGUCAGGACCGGGACUCUUCGAGCUUUCACAACUCCAUAUUGCAAAUUUAACUUCUUCUUCAGAAAUAUCUUCUACCAGCAUUCUAUUUUCCUCCCCAGAAACUGAACUGAAAGCAACAUUAUCCAACCUUAUAGGAACCCCCUCAACUUCAUCAAACCGAGAUUUUAAAAAAAUUCCUAACCUUAUCCUUUACCACCUCUGUAUUAUCACACCACAGGCCAUCAAACCUUAUCCUUUUUGUAGUGUAUGUGUUAGUGUUUUCUUAUCAAAGUUGUUUGCUUUUAGUGUUUCUGUCAUUCUCGUCAUCUCUUUUACGGUUUAUUUACUCCACUAAUCUUGAUAUUGUUGCUUAUCUGUUUGUUAUGUUUUUUCGCAACAUGAAAAUGAUGUUUCUUUUGGGUUUCUUUAUCAAAGUUUCUUGCUUUUCAUGUUUCUAUUGAUUCUUUUUUUCUCUUUUAUGAUUUCUUUGCUCCAUUGUUCUUGAUAUUAUUGUUUAUGUGUUUGUUACGUUGUUUCACAUCAUAGAAAUGAUUUUUUUUUUGUUUCUUAUCAAAGUUGUUUGCUUUUAAUGUUUUUGCCAAUCUUUUCAUCUCUUUUACGUUUCUUUGCUCCACUAAUCUUGAUAUUGUUGCUUCUCUUUUUGUUAUGUUUUUUUCGCAACAUAAAAAUGAUAAUUUUUUUUGGGUUUUCUUAUCAAAGUUUUUUGCUUGUAAUGUUUCUCCUGAUUCUUUUCCUCUCUUUUACGGUUUCUUUGCUCCAUUGUUCUUAAUAUUGUUGCUUCUGUGUCUUGUGUCUGUUACAUUGUUUCAGAGAAUAAAAUGAUUUUUUUUGUUUCUUAUCAAAGUUUCUUGCUUUUAAUCUGUCUAUCAUUCUCUUCAUCUCUUUUACUUUUUCUUUGCUCCACUUAUCAAAGCUUCUUGUGUUUUCAUGUUUCUGUUGGUUCUUUUCCUCUCUUUUACAGUUUCUUUGCUCCAUUGUUCUUGAUAUUAUUGCUUCUUGUGUUUGUUACGUUGUUUCACAUCAUAGAAAUGAUAUUUUUUUGGGUUUCUUAUCGAAGUUGCUUGCUUUUAAUGUUUCUUUCAUUCUCUUAAUCUCUUUUAUGUUUUCUUUGCUCCACUAAUAUUGAUAUUAUUGCUUCUCUGUUUGUUAUCUUUUUUCGCAACAUAAAAAUGAUAUUUUGUUUUUGAGUUUUCUUAUCAAAGUUUCUUGUUUUUCAUGUUUCUGCUGAUUCUUUUCAUCUCUUUUACGGUUUAUUUACUCCAUUGUUCUUGAUAUUGUUGCUUUCUUUAGUCUGUGCAACAACCGGUAGUGAAAUCCAUCGUAUGUUCAAGCACCUAGGUGAUAUGUUUUUUUUACAAUGGAUAUGUUAAUGUUUGUUACUUUUUCGCAACAUAAACAUGAAUUUUUUGGGGGUUUUCUUAUCAAAGUUGUUUGCUUUUGAUAUUUCUGUCAUUCUCUUCAUCUCUUUUACGGUUUCUUUGUUCCACUAAUCUUGAUAUUGUUGCUUCUCUAUUGUUUAUGUCUUUUCGCAACAUAAAAAUGAUUUUUUUUUUGUUUUCUUAUCAAAGUUUUUACUUUUAAUGUUUAUGCUGAUUUUUUUCAUCUUUUUUACAGUUUCUUUGCUCCAUUGUUCUUGAUAUUGUUGAUUUCUUUAGCCUGUGCCACAACCGGUAGUGGAAUCCAUCGCUGUUCUUAGGGUUUCUAAUCAAAGUUGCGAACUUUUAUCUUUUUCAAAGAAAAGGUGAUUCUUUUGUCAUUUGUUUUCAUUUUUUGGUGCAUUCAUAACAUACUGUUCAGAUUGUUUGCAAAAUGUUUUUUGGUUCGUUUUCUCUAGUUCUUUUUUAUGUUCUUGGUUAUUUAUUUCUUAUUUUUUCUGCAGUUUUAUUUUUGUUUCUUACUUUUUUGGUUGUUCAUAGGGUUUAUGAUCAAAGUUACAAACUUUUAUCUUUUCUGAAGAAAAGGUUAUUCUUUUAUCAUUUCUUUUCAUUUUUUGGUGCAUCCAUAACAUACAUAUUCAAAUUGUUUGCCAAAAUAUUUUUUGGUUCAUUUUCUCCAGAUCUUUUUUAUGUUCUUGGUUCUCUAAUAUCAGGUCUUCUUCAAACCAUGUCAGAUUCAUAUUGGGAUGAAAUACUAAAGUUUCAAAACAUUAAUAAAUAAUAAUUCUAAAUUAUUUAAUGCCUGCUUAAAUGAAAAUUUUAAAUAAAUAAAAUUUCUAAAAUAUCCAAAAUCCCAAAUAAAUAUAAAUCACAUGUUAUUUUAUGUCAUAAAUAAAUAAAAUUUCAAAAAGUUUUUAAAAAUCCUAAAUAAAUACAAAAUCAUAAAUUAUUUUAUUUCUUAAAUAAAAAUAUAAAAUAAAUGAUAUUUUACAGUUUUCAAAAUUCAACAUAAAUAAAAAUUAUAAAAUAUAAAAUAAACAAAAUUUUUAAGUUUUCAAAAUCCUAAAUAAAUAAAAAUAAAAAAAUUUGUAAUGUCAUGCUUAGAUAAAAAUUGAAAAUGAAUAAAAUUUCUAAAUUAAUCCAAAUUCUAAUAAAUCCAUAUCCUACAUUAUUUAAUGUCAUUCUUAGAUAAAAAUCUAAAAUUAAUAAUUUUUUAGGUUUUCUAAAAUCCUAAAUAAAUACAAAUUCUAAAUUAUUUUAUUCCCUACUUAAAUAAUAAUCUCAAAUAAAUAAAAUUUCUAAAAUUACUUAUUCAAUAUGCUCAUGUUUAUUUCUUAUAUAUUAAUAUUAAUAUUAAUAUUUACAUUGUAAUUUUAUUUUUAUUUUCUUAUUAUAUAUAUAUAAUUAUAUAAAUUAUAUUUUUAUACAGAAAAGUGAAAGAAAAUGCACCAAAUAAAUCAACAAAAUUUGGAGCGGGAUGAAAUAAUUUUAUGUUGAAUGACUUCGAAGAAGACAAUAAUAUUGUUUUUGAAGCAGAUUUUAACAUACUAAAUAAUGAAAUUUUGGUUAUUCGACUUUUAGGAUGAGUCAUUUUUGACAUAACUCUUUAUUGUUACUUACUUUCCUCAAAUUUUUUGUCAUUUUGUUAUACUUAAAUUAUUUAUUUAUGUGUAUUAUUUAUUUUCAUGGAUUUUUUAUAUUAAUUUUGUAAGGAUCUAGAAAAUAAGCUUAGAGUAGAAGUGAUAUAUUUUAAAUGAUACCUGAAUAUUUUAUUANNNNNNNNNNNNNNNNNNNNNNNNNNNNNNNNNNNNNNNNNNNNNNNNNNNNNNNNNNNNNNNNNNNNNNNNNNNNNNNNNNNNNNNNNNNNNNNNNNNNAGCAUGUCAAAUGGAUUUACCCUGUCAUAUGAAGAUGAUGAGAUGAUGAGAUAUUGAGAUAAUUAUGUGCAUGGCUGUGGGGUUUCACAGCAGUAGUAUGACAGGUGCAGGUCUCUGGAUGCUAAUUUCAAUACACGAGUCUUCCGGGAGUAAAGUGUCUAUGUGUUGUGUGUUGUGAGUCAGUAAAAGUCUGACAUAUGAAAGAUAAUUUUAUGAAUGUAAUAGACAUCUGAUGGUUUGAGAAAUCAUAUGAGAAUUGAUGAAUUAUGCUUAUUAAUUUGAAAUUUAAAUUAUAUCAAAACUUUUUAUAUAGAUAGCUUACCUGUUAUUUGUUUGUGUUUGUUUCUUUAUCUGUGAUGAUCGUGUUUUACAUGGGAGCAGAUGAGAUGAUCGUGUUUUAUGAUCGUGUUUUAUUUGAAUGUUUUGUUGUGUUGUUAAAACUUUAGAUGUAUAUAUAUGUUUUGAGAUACACAUAUGAGAAAGUAGUAUAUGUUAUUUGUAAUUAGAUAUUGCUUGUUUUACUUUUAUUAUAUUAUAUAUGGGAAAAAUUAAGGAUGUUACAAAUUUUAGUAUGUUUAGUUUUUUUAUUUAUUUAUUCGCAUAUGCUAAUGAUUAUUUCUCAUAUAUUUGUAAUUUUUUUUUCAUUUACAAUUACACAUAUGUAUAUAAUAUUUAUAAUAUAUAUAAAUUAUAUUUUUAUAUAUAAUAGUAAAGGAAAACGUGUCUAUUAAAUCAACAAAAUUUGGAGCGGGAUGGAAGAAUUUUUUAAGGUUACAUGAUUUUAAAGAAAACGAUAAGAUUGUUUUUGAAGUAGAGGUUAAUAUACCAAAUAAUUAAAUUCAAGUUAUUCACCUUUUAGGAUGACUGUUUAUUGUUACUUUCUCAAAAUUUGUAUCAGUUUGUUGAUACCUGAACAAUUUAUUUGUUUACAUGUAUUAUUUAUCUUUAUGCAUUGUUUAUAUUAAUUUUAGUAUGUUUAGUUUUUUAUUUAUUCAUACAUGCUAAUGUUUAUUUCUUAUAUAUUAAUAUUUUUUUAUUUUUUUAUUCACAUUUACAUUUACAUAAUUAUAUAAUUAUAUUUUUAUACAAAAUAGUAAAGAAAUCGCGGCAAAUAAGUCAACAAAAUUUAGAGUGAGGUGAAAGAAUUUAUAUAUGUUAAAUGACUUCAAAGAAGGUGAUAAAAUUAUUUUUAAAGUAGGUGUUAACAUACCAAAUUAUUAAAUUCGAGCUAUACACCUUUUAUGAUGAUUUUUUUUUUUACAUAAGUAUUUAUUGUUACUUACCAAAUUUUAUAAUAUUUUUAUUAAAAUUAUUUUAUGAUUAUUAUUAUUAUUAUUAUUUAAAUAUGAUACAAAAAAUUAGUUUAUUUUAUAAUAAAAUUUAUUUUUAUUAAUAAAUAUUAAAUUUGUUAUCAGAAGACACGAUUGUCGCAUGGAUUCAAACGAUUUGUCAUGUCAUUGAUUUAUGUUCUUAAAUGUGUUUUUUUUGUGUGUUUUCUUUUAUAAUUUUAUUUAAUGUAAUUUAAUGUUAUUCCCUUAUUUUAUAUUAUUUUCUUAUUUAAUGUGAUUCUCUUUUCUCAAGUCCAUUAAGAGAAACAACUUAAAAAUAUAACAAAGAAUAAUGGUAUAAAAAUAGAGAAGAAGCUCAAUAGACAAUCAUUAUUAGAGUAAAAUGGGGAAGAAUUCCAAACAUUGUGUAAUUCAACAAAUCCAAACAAAUAUGCAUAUAACCAUAAAUAUUUUUCUGGUUUUUUUUAAAAAAAGUUAAUUAGUAAUAAAAGAUGAAAACAAUUAAAUGUGGUUUAUGGAAUAUUUUAUUUGGCAUUGCUUCCUGUUUAUCAUUUAAAUCCAUUUUUUAAAACAAAUUUCUUCAAAUAAAUAUUGCAAAUAUUUUUCUCUAUCUAUUGCAAAUAUUUAUCGAUCUUCUUUAACUGGAAUCAAUAUCAAUAAAUUGAAAAUAUCAGGUACUUAUUUUUAAUAUCUCACGUUAUUUGGAAUAAAAUGACUUUUCCAUUAUCUUUUUAUUUAUUUAAAUAAUCAAGCUCACAUUAACAUAAAAUAUUACAAUUAGUGUUAAUUUAACAAAGUAUUUCUUAAAAUAUGUUAACAAAUGUUCAAAUAAAGUCACAAAUUAAAAUAAUACUACUUCUACAAAAUCUACAUAAAAAAAACAUAAAAACUAAUUACUAUGAAAAUAAAAAUGGUUGCAACAGUAAAUAUUGUUAAUAAUGACUUCCACUUAUUACUUUAAGAAUUUAUUUAUUUGAAAAUUACAAUUAGUGUUAAUUUAACAAAGUAUUUCUUAAAAUAUGUUAACAAAUGUUCAAAUAAAGUCACAAAUUAAAAUAAUACUACUUCUACAAAAUCUACAUAAAAAAAACAUAAAAACUAAUUACUAUGAAAAUAAAAAUGGUUGCAACAGUAAAUAUUGUUAAUAAUGACUUCCACUUAUUACUUUAAGAAUUUAUUUAUUUGAAAAUUUGAAGUAUUUAUAUUUGAAAAUUAUUGAAUUAUUUAUUAUAAUAUGUAAUGAUUUGUUUACACGAGAAAUUUAUUUAGUAUGUUCCAAAAUCUACACAUUACAUUAUAUCAAAUCAUUCUAAAAAUGAUAAUUAAAAUUAAUAUAUACAAUUUUAUAGUAUUUUUAUUAUAAUUAUUUUAUGAUAUUAUUAUUAUGAAGGUUGUAGAUGAAGAGAACAGUAACCAACCUUUUGAUGGUAAAGUUGUUGUAUUAGGAGGUGAUUUUAGGCAAAGUCUGCUUGUUGUUGACACGAAGGGAUCAAGAUACUUCCUAUUUUUUUCUAUGACUUAACUGUACAAGUAUGACACGUACACAAUUAGUUUCUUAUCUUUUAUAUAUUUCCUUCCACCAGUUCUACAUUUAAGUUAUCUGCAACGUUGAUUGAAAUGUGUUGAUAUUAUAACUCAAUAUUGCUCAACACUCAAUUUAUGUCAACUAAAGUAAGAAAAUUAUCUUAUUUAAUUCCCAUUGUUUGAUGCUUGACAUGCUUUGUAAAUUAGAUUGUCAACUAGAUGGCCUCCAGUUCAAAGGUUGACUUUUCAUCUAUUAUACGAGGAACCCAUUCUAUUUAAAGACAAUGAAGAAAUUGAUGAAAUAUUGAACACAAAUGAACAUAAACGAACAAUGUUUUUAGCUUGGUUUGAGGCUAAUAAAAUUUAUCUAGCAUUUGACCUAUUCUGAAUAUCCUAGCCUAUUUGUUUGGAUGGCAGAAUGAAGAGAAUGGAAGCCAAGGAAGAUGGGUGUUAGUAUUGAAAGGCUUACAUAUAUUUCUCUUGGGUCAGGAGAAUUAUAUUAUCUUAGGAUAUUGUUGAAUUAUAAAAAGGAUGUUGUAAUUAUGAUAACAUCAAGACGGUUAAUGGGGUAAUUUACAAAACAUAUAAAGAGGCUUGCUAUGCAAUGGGGCUAUUGGCAGAUGAUAAAGAAUUUAUUGAUGCCACUACAAAGGCCAAUAACCUUGCUUCAAGAAUUGAUACAACCCAAGUAGCUACGAAGAUGACCAAGGAAGCAAAAGACAAAGCACAAGACGAACAAUCAUCUCAGCAAACAAUUUCAGACCCCACCAAGGAUCACGUGGACCUCACAAUAGGAGUUGGGCAUAAACCAACACACCAACUAUUCUACCUUUGGAUCUUCUGAUAAGAUACAAAUAUGUUUUAAAUAAUUGGGCUCACUUUGGGGGUACAAACGAAAAAUAUAGACUAAAAUAAGGCGCCUUUAGCAUAAUAGGGUUGUAGUUAUCAUUUUAGCUUGUUCCUAGCCCUUUUGGAAGACAUUUUGACCUAGUUUCUAGAAGGACAAGCCUAGGAUGCGGGUUUGACUUAGUCAAACCCUAAGGCUGCCAAUUUUUUCCCUUUUCCCAUCCUACCCCUUUAGCUUGUUCUCCAAGGCUCCUUCACCUAUAAAUAGGAGACCUACCUAGUGUUGUAUUUUACAUGUUGAAUUUGAAUAGAAAAGUUACUCUGCACAAUUUGUGUAAGGUGUGUGAGGCUUGAGUCUUCUAACAUUUAGGUCUUAUCUUGAGUGAGUUGAGAACUCUCAAGUGGCGGUCUUCUACACUUAUUUUGGAGAAUCUACCAUCCAAGUGGCGUGUUCAUCCUUUCAUUCCAUCAUCCAUAAGCUUCCUUUUCCUUCAUCUUUGUUUUUCAUCUUCCAUUCCAUCAAUUCUCUUUGUUAUAUGUUCUUGUUUAAUUCCGUCUCUUCCAUUCGGUCAAAUCAUUUUGUUGUUUCCUUUAUGUUCUUUAAUUUCCGCCUUUGCAUCAUUGUCACCCUUAUUCUUGUUUUUCUCUUUGUCCUUGUGAAGUGAACCUUCACACUUACUUAACCACUUGGUUUCGUGUUCAGAGGAAAUCUUCUUAUGGUUCUCACCAUAAUUGUGCUAAAAUCUCAAUCUUAAGUAAAGUGUCACCUUAAAAGAAAACAUCUAAAAUCAACUCACAUCAGGAAUUCGGUUCAAAAGAUUGUUUGUUACAUUGUUACUCAUGAAUACUAUGUCUAGACCUGAUGAAGUGUGGAAUAAAACUUGGAAGUUACUAUCAGAUGACAUUAUAUACCAAAAAAGAAAAAAGUUUAACCUACCAGGUAUAAAUUUAUGUUUUCCUCAAAUUUUAUAAAUACCUUCUAUGACAUAUUAAUUUUUUGGUAGGCCUUACCAUUGAAGAUACUCAAAUACAAAACUUUUGUCUUCUACAAGUAAAAGACUUAUUAAUUUCAAAUGGUAAGUCUUUAAAGGACUUUAGUAGUCUACCACAACCUAUUCAUUCAGAUUCUUUUAUUUAUGAGAAUGGAUUCAUUAUUGAUGAAUUAAAUUAUGACAAAAUAAAAAUGUCUUAAAUGUAUUCUUUUCUUUUUCAAUCUCUAACUACUGAGCAAGUGGAUGUCUAUGAGAAUAUAAUGACAACAAUACUAUGAGAAGUUGGCGAUUUUUUUCUUAUUCGAUUAUGGUGGCACAAGAAAAAAAUUUAUGUGGAUAAAUUUUUCUACUGCCAUUAGAUCAAAAUGGUUGAUUGUAUUGAAUGUAGCUUCUAGCGGUAUGGCUUCUUUAUCACUUUCGGGAGGGAAAACAACUCAUUCUACCUUUUGCAUUCCUUUGUUAAUAAAUGAACAAUCAACCUGCAACAUACCUCAAGGAAGUCUUCGUACCAUAUUGUUGAUUUAAACUAAAUUAAUUAUAUGGGAUGAAGUUCCAAUGAUCAAUAAAUUCUGUUUUGAAGCUCUGGAUAGAACUCUAAGGGAUGUCAUGAGGGUUGAAAGUCAAGAUAGCGCUCAUAAACCUUUUGGUGGUAAAAUCAUUGUAUUGGGAGGAGAUUUUAGACAGAUAUUGCAUGUUGUAAAAAAUGGAUCAAGAUAUGGCAUUGUGAAGGCAACAAUAAACUACGCGGAAUUAUGAAAACAUUGCAAAGUCUUGAAACUUACAGAGAAUAUGAGAUUAAAUAGUGAGAAAUCAAUGCAAAUUGCAACAAAAAUAAAAGAGUUUGCUAAUUGGAUACUUCAUAUUGGAGAUGGAGAUAUGGACUUAAAUGAGUUGGGACAAGCAACUAUUGAAAUACCAGAAGACAUUUUAAUUCUACAUGUUCAACAACCUUUAUUGCAAUUGGUUGAAUUUGUUUAUCCAGGCUACAUGCAAAAUCUUACCUCUAAUGGAUUUUUUGACGAUGGGGAAAUACUCUGUCCUACUACAGAAUGUGUAGACUAAGUGAAUGAGUUCAUCUUAUCCUUAAUCCCCAAAUAAGAAGUUAGUUAUUUAAGUUCAAACACCCCUUGCCAAUCUGAUGAACAAGAAAAUGCUCAAGCUGAAUGGUUUACAACAGAAUUUUUAAAUGAUAUCAAAUGUUCGGGAAUUCCUAAUCAUUGUGUUAAAUUAAAAGUUGGAGUUUCAAUAAUGCUUCUAAGGAAUAUUCAUUAAGCCAAUGGACUUUGAAAUGGAACAAGAUUACAAGUAAUUCACUUGAGGAAGAAUAUUAUUGGUGCCAAAGUUAUUACAUGACAAAAUAUUGGUGAUAAAAUAUUUAUUCCUAGAAUGAACUUGACUCCUUUUGAAUCAAGCCUGCCUUUUAAGUUUCAAAUAAUACAAUUCCCAAUAUCUUUGUGCUUUGUUAUGAUAAUAAAUAAAAGUUAAGGUCAAAUGCUUAAUAAAGUUGGUCUAUAUCUACCACGUCCAGUGUUUACACAUGGACAACUAUAUGUUGUUGUUUCUAGAUUGAAAUCCAAGAAAGGGUUGAAAAUAUUGAUUUUGGAUGAUAAUGGAAAUACCAAUAAUUCAACUACCAAUGUGGUUUACAUAGAAAUAUUUGAAAAUGUUUGAAACAUAUUGUGACAGCCAUACAUAUCUGGUAUGUAAAUUCUUUAAUCCAAAACUAUUCUUAUUUUUCAUAUCUUUGUUCUAAUAUAUGAAGAUGAAUUUAACAAUUUCUAUACAUUAUUUUUUUGUAAUAACAAGUUUCUUCUAAUUUCUGAUAGUAAAUAUUUCAACACGACUAUAAUGGAUAACCAAGAAAGGUAUAAAUUUAUAACUUUUUAAUAAAAUUAAUAAUUUUAAUUGUCUACAAUUUUAUUUUGAUAAAUUUGUUUCUUCUAAAUGGUUUUAAUACAAGAAUUUCAUUGUAUUUAGUAACACAGAAGUUUAUAUUCACUACAAAAAGUAAUAAAGUUAUUAUACUUUACACAAGUGUUUUUUUAAUAAAAGCUCUCAUGUUAGACAUCAUUAUACAACUUGACAUCUCAGCUAGGUUGACACUUCAAAUAAGAACAAUCAUUUGUCAUCAUCACAUGACAAAAGUAUUAUUAAAAGAAGAAAAAAUAAAGAAAAUACAAAAAUAUGAAAAACAUAUUAUUAAUAAUAUUAAUAAUAUUAUUAAUAAUAUUAAUAAUAUUAUUAAUAAUAUUAAUAAUAUUAUUAAUAAUAUUAAUAAUAUUAUUAAUAUAAUUAUUCAGAUAAAUUAUCCCGCACAAUUUUCCUUUGUUUUUCAAACACUAACGUUAUCAAAUGUUUAACAGAAUAAGAGAGUGCAACGUAAUUAUUGUUAUAUUCCUCAUUAUUUUUUUCAUUUGUUAUUUAUGUUCCUAUUUCAUCAUGUAUAUCAAAUAGAUAUCGAUAAUUUUAACUAUAUCUUUUUCUUAGUUUUUAUUUAAAUUCAAAUUUGAUUUUAUAUAUAUAUAUAUAUAUAUAUAUAUAUAUUGUAUACAUAUUAUAUGUCAAGUCAAGGCAUUCAAAUAAUUUCACCUUUAAUUACUAAUAAGCCACUUUAACUUAAAGAUAGUCUUCUAAAUUAGUUAUUUGUAAGCAAGUUAUUUCUAGAUAUAGAUAAUUUAUUUGUAAUUAGUUAUUUAUAAGCAGAUUACUUCUAGAUAUAGAUGAGUGUCAAAUGUUCAUACGAAAAAGGUACAUUAAGUUACCCUUGGAGUGACCUCAUGAUAGUCAUUUAUUUAUGACUCAUAACCACUUAGCAAUAAAAACUUAUUGAGUUAUUGUUCUACUCAUAUCAUUGAUGGUAAUUAGAGUUCGUCCCGAAUUUAUGACGGCUACUUACACAAUUCGAGUUGUAAACAUUCUCCACUUUAUGACCGUUCAGUACAAUUCCAAACUUUAUUUUCCAGAUUUCACAUUCUUAACCAAAAUACAUGUCAGUUCCAUAUUGCAAUCUUCAGACUUCUUAAUAAUUAUAAUAAAAAUCUAUAGGAUAUCUGGAUCCAAAAUUCCUUUAUGAACCUCAAUAUCUAAAAACUUAUCUUCUACUAUUCACCCCAAACCCUUAUUUAACCACCCCUUCUUAUCGGAAACACCACACGACCUCCACCGCACCUCGUUGCAGCUAAAUGUUACCUCCAACAUCACUCCAAACCACCAAUGCAGAACACCUCACUCUUAGAGUUUCGUCAUCCCAAAUAAAACGUAGCCAUCAAAAAAUAAAAUUAGAGUGUAGCAUUAGGAGGAGCCAAUAGAUCGAAUUUAGCCAUAAAAAAAUUGUGAACUUCAGAUACACAACAUGCAGGUUCAUUAGGAAAUAGGACUAACUAGUAAGAAAAUAAGAUUUAAUUUGUUGAGAAACGUGGCUUAAACUCCAUGUUGUCUUGGCACAUUCUUCAUUAUCUAGAUAGGCUAGAAAAAUAAGCAGUCUCUGUUCACAACAUUCUCCCUUCACUCAAAGGGCUCACCUGAUCGGGAAAAGGAAAAAGUUCACAGAGUGCAUGGUUAUGGCAUUUGUGGCUCUGAGGCAGGAAUUUAAAUCAUAAACCACUAUGAAACAUCCUAACAGUCAUAACAUGCCACGCUACGCUUAUGUUAUAAAAAAACGUUCAUGGAACUAAAGGCACAACAACCAUAAUUCAAACAUCAAAUGCACACAAAGAGGCAGACAACAGAACAACAGAGUUUACCUCCAUAAUCCUUUUCCUUAACCUUCAAAUACGAAUCAGGAAGCACGUACCGAACUCCAGGCAAUUCUGCAAUACCAAAUACAGAACCCUGUAUAAGAAAUCCCCACCAGCAUAAAAUACAAACAAAACCCUGAAGGUUCAAAACCACAUAUACCUUUAAUCUUGUACAAGCGGCUCUCCUGGUACAAGCGGCUCUUCUGGUACAGGCGGCUCUUCUGGUGCAAACGGUUCUCCUGGUACAAGCGGCUCUUCUGGUACAGGUGGCUCUUCUGGUACAAACGGCUCUCCUGGUACAAGCGGCUCUUCUGGUACAGGCGGCUCUUCUGGUACAAACGGUUCUCCUGGUACAAGGGGCUCUUCUGGUACAGGCGGCUCUUCUGGUACAAACGGCUCUCCUGGUACAAGCGGCUCUUCUGGUACAGGUGGCUCUCCUGGUACAAACGGCUCUCCUGGUACAAGCGGCUCUUCUGGUACAGGCGGCUGUUCUGGUACAACCGAAGAUAUCUUCAUCCUAGCUUCCUCUUCACUAUAAAAAUCAAAACUAAACACUCGAAAUAGUCAGCCCAAAAACAAGAAACCACGUACGAAAGGCAUAUCUUCAACCUCAACACCUUAUUAAUAUUAAGAAAAUAUUCAUAUUAUCAUAAAAAAUACUCAUUCUGUUAAUUAUAAAAAAAUAAAAACUUAAACCAAGCUAUUUAUCAUACCACCAAACAAAGAGGUACCUUUUUUUCUUCCUGUUAUAUUAGGACAAUCCAAUCUAAUAAAAAUUUGCACCGAGUAAUAAAACACAUAAAAUACAGAUAAAACAGGAAUAAGGAACAAGAGCGAUUACUGGUGCUGUUGUCGUUGUUACCUUCCGACAACCUUGGACAAGGUUUUGCUGUAACUACAGAUGAUUUCGUCGCGUGUGCAUAGGGCGCGGAGGGAGGGGAUGGUGGGAAGGAGGAGGCAGCAGAGAGAGGGAUUGGCGGCGACGGAGAUGCGGCGGAGGAAGGAGAGGGCAGAGAGAGAGGAGGGAGGAGGGGAGGUGAGGGAGCGGGAGUGGAAGGGCGCUAGGAUCUGAGCGGCCAUGGUUGGAAAGAUUGGUGGGUUUGAGAAGAAGAUAAGAGAAAUGCAGUAAAUAGAUAGAUAGUCAAUUCCCUAACUGCUUCCGUCGUGUCUUGUUCUCUGUUUCUUUCUUUUCUUUCUAACGUCCUAAUCAUCCUACAGUUAC